CAGACUCCUACGGGAGGCAGCAGUAGGGAAUCUUCGGCAAUGGACGGAAGUCUGACCGAGCAACGCCGCGUGAGUGAAGAAGGUUUUCGGAUCGUAAAGCUCUGUUGUAAGAGAAGAACGAGUGUGAGAGUGGAAAGUUCACACUGUGACGGUAUCUUACCAGAAAGGGACGGCUAACUACGUGCCAGCAGCCGCGGUAAUACGUAGGUCCCGAGCGUUGUCCGGAUUUAUUGGGCGUAAAGCGAGCGCAGGCGGUUAGAUAAGUCUGAAGUUAAAGGCUGUGGCUUAACCAUAGUACGCUUUGGAAACUGUUUAACUUGAGUGCAAGAGGGGAGAGUGGAAUUCCAUGUGUAGCGGUGAAAUGCGUAGAUAUAUGGAGGAACACCGGUGGCGAAAGCGGCUCUCUGGCUUGUAACUGACGCUGAGGCUCGAAAGCGUGGGGAGCAAACAGGAUUAGAUACCCUGGUAGUCCACGCCGUAAACGAUGAGUGCUAGGUGUUAGACCCUUUCCGGGGUUUAGUGCCGCAGCUAACGCAUUAAGCACUCCGCCUGGGGAGUACGACCGCAAGGUUGAAACUCAAAGGAAUUGACGGGGGCCCGCACAAG
rnacentral:rRNA from 1 species